UUAGAUCAAAACCAAUCGGAGGUCACUCUGAACGGAUUUGAUGACUCUGGAUAACUUUACCAAUCGCACGGCCUUUGCGCCAGCGAUGUAUCUUUCAAGUGCCUGACCUAUCAGCUUUCGAUGGUAGGGUAUUUGCCUACCAUGGCUAUGACGGGUAACGGGGAAUCAGGGUUCGAUUCCGGAGAGGGAGCCUUAGAAAUGGCUACCACAUCUAAGGAAGGCAGCAGGCGCGCAAAUUACCCAUUCUCGGCUCGAGGAGGUAGUGACAUGAAAUAACGAUGCGGAACUCUUUGAGGCUCCGUAAUUGGAAUGAGAGCAAUCUAAAUCGUUAUUUCGAGUACCAAUUGGAGGGCAAGUCUGGUGCCAGCAGCCGCGGUAACUCCAGCUCCAAUAGCGUAUACUAAAGUUGUUGCAGUUAAAAAGCUCGUAGUUGGAUCUAAGGCGCAGAACACAUGGUUCAUCUUCGAUGCAACUAUAAGUUCGGCCUUUGUCAGUGGACGCUGUUUCGUGUGCUCUUAACCGGGUGCAUGAGAUGCUCUGCACGUUUACUUUGAACAAAUUAGAGUGCUCAAAGCA
rnacentral:rRNA from 1 species